AGGCAAGAGGGUUUUACUGAACACUGGUAUUCAAGGGACAGAGGGGGUUAAAUUUCUCUGGAAUUCUAAUUCUAAAGAGCUAGUCAGAGGGUUUUGUAGGGGGAAGGUCAGGGUCACCUAAUCUUUUUAAGCACAGAGCCCACAGAUGGCCUUAAACAUCACAAAACAACUAUAAGAAACCCUUUAUUAAACUAAAGAUAUGCAUAUCAGACAUCUGGACUCUAAUCAGUAUGUUUGUAACAGGCUGGAAAAAAACUCGCAUAAGAAUCUCUCAGCUAGUGGAACUGUUCUGCUAAGUCCACUUGGCUGAGAUAGUGAGCAAGAAAGAAAGUUGUAGAUUAAAAAUGCCAAGCAGCCUUUCUGCCCUUUUGCAGGCUAAAGGCCAUUUCUCAAGAGAACAAAGAAGAGAAGAGAGACCAAGGCCACAGGCACUGAGAGAGCUCCGCACCCCUUUGGAAGAGAUCCGUGCACUGGUGCAAUAUAAAAAUGUUUACCGGUUACUUAGAGCAUCAUUACUGCGUUAGUCACCUCAAGCUCUCAGUCACCCAUUUUGAAGAGGAGAAAACACGUUGUAAGGUUCUGAGCGUUUCUCACACUAAAGCCCUAGAAACCUUUUAACUGACUGGUGCCAUCAAGUCGAUUCCGACUCAUAGCAACCCUGUGCAAAACAACAAAACGCUGCCCAGUCCUGAGCCAUCCUUGCAAUCGUUGUUAUGCUUGAGCUCAUUGUUGCAGCCACUGCGUCAAUCCACCUCGUUGAGGGUCUUCUUCUUUUCCGCUGACCCUGUACUCUGCCAAGCAUGAUGUCCUUCUCCAGGAACUGAUGCCUCCUGACAACAUGUCCAAAGUAUGUAAGAUGCCGUCUCGCCAUCCUUGCUUCUAAGGAGCACUCUGGUUGUACUUCUUCUAAGACAGAUUUGUUCAUUCUCUUGGUAGUCCAUGGUAUAUUCAGUAUUCUUCACCAACGCCACAACAACCCUGUGUCUGGCUGGCUUCAGUUCACUAGUGUGCUUCACAAGAACCUAUGAGUUGACGGCUUCAAUACCAGGUCUUUCACGAAUGACUCUCAGGAAAGAAAAAAGCCACAGCAAUAGAUAAUUUGUGUCAUUUGUAGACAAUGUGAUUUGUCUUUCUAAUGAGUUGGUAGAAAGGUCAAUGUAGAUAUUUUUAAAUGGAGACCUGAAGUUAUAAAAUGUCAUUGUUUUUGGUGUUCAAAUCAAUUGAAUAAAGUAUGAUGGGUAGAAGGGAUAGGAAGAAAAAUAGGAAUAUAUAUUAUGUUAUAUCCAGCCAUUCAGCUUCUUGAAUAAACACAGAACAUUGCACUUUGGUGAGUAGCAUCUGGGGUCCUUUCCACAACGGAUUUCCUGUGUCCAUACAACCAACUACUGUCCCUUCCUGCCUUCUCAUUGUGCCUCCAGACAUGAGCCGCCCAUUUGGUUACUUCUAGGGUGAAUAUCAACAGGGAAGAGGGCAGGCGGAAAUCUUCUGUGUGUUGGAAAAUUUCCCUACCUCCACCUCAGAGGAGGUUAUACGAGUGUAUAUCCUGAUGUAAAAAUCCAUCGCAUUGUACACUGUCAUGGAUUGAAUUGUGUCCCCCCUAAAAUAUGUGUCCACUUGGUUAGGCCAUGAUUCCCAGUAGUCUGUGGUUUUCCCCCUUUUUGUGAUUGUACUUUUAUGUUAAAGAGGAUUAGUGUGGGAUGUAACACUACUCUUACUCAGGUCACCUCCCUGAUCUGAUGUAAAGGGAGUUUCCCUUGGGUGUGGCCUGCACCACUUUUUAUCCCUCAAGAGAUAAAAGGAAAGGGAAGCAGGCAGAGAGUUGGGGACCUCAUAUCACCAAGAAAGCAGUGCCAGGAGCAGAGCAUGUCUUUUGGACCUGAGGUUUCUGUGCUGAGAUGCUCCUAGUCUAAGGGAAGACUGAUGACAAGGACCUUCCUGCAGAGCUGACAGGGAGUAAAAGCCUUCGCCUGGAGCUGGUGCCCUUAAUUCGGACUUUUAGCCUUCCAGACUAUGAGAGAAUAAACUUCGCUUUGUUAAAGCCAUCCACUUGUGGUAUUUCUGUUACGGCAGCACUAGGAGACUGAGACAGCAUCCACUGUGGUAUUUCUGUUACAGCAGCACUAGGUGACUGAGACACCAUCCACUGUGGUAUUUCU